CGCGAAUGGCUCAUUACAACAGCUAUAAUUCACUUGAUCUUGACACAAUCCUACUUGGAUAACUGUGGUAAUUCUAGAGCUAAUACAUGCAUUAAAGCUCUGACCUCACGGGAAGAGUGCAUUUAUUAGAACAAAACCAAGCGGCUUCGGCUGUUUUCGGUUGACUCAUAGUAACUGAGCUGAUCGCAUGGUCUUGCACCGGCGACGUGUCUUUCAAGUAUCUGCCGUAUCAACUCUCGAUGGUAGUGUAUCUGACUACCAUGGUGAUCACGCGUAACGGAGAAUAAGGGUUCGACUCCGGAGAGUUCGCCUGAGAAAUCGCGAACACAUCUAAGGAAGGCAGCAGGCGCGAAAAUUACCCACUCUCAGCACGAGGAGGUAGUGACGAAAAAUAACGAGACCGUUCUCUUAUGAGGCCGGUCAUCGGAAUGGGUACAAUUUAAACCCUUUAACGAGUAUCUAUGAGAGGGCAAGUCUGGUGCCAGCAGCCGCGGUAAUUCCAGCU
rnacentral:rRNA from 1 species